AUUGAACGCUGGCGGCAUGCUUUACACAUGCAAGUCGAACGGUAACAGGCCUUCGGGUGCUGACGAGUGGCGAACGGGUGCGUAAUGCAUCGGAACGUGCCCAGAGGUGGGGGAUAACGCAGCGAAAGCUGUGCUAAUACCGCAUGUGAUCUGAGGAUGAAAGCGGGGGACCAGGCAGCAAUGUUUGGCCUCGCGCCUUUGGAGCGGCCGAUGUCAGAUUAGGUAGUUGGUGGGGUAAAGGCCUACCAAGCCGACGAUCUGUAGCUGGUCUGAGAGGACGACCAGCCACACUGGGACUGAGGCACGGCCCAGACUCCUACGGGAGGCAGCAGUGGGGAAUUUUGGACAAUGGGCGCAAGCCUGAUCCAGCAAUGCCGCGUGCGGGAAGAAGGCCUUCGGGUUGUAAACCGCUUUUGUACGGAACGAAAAGGCUCUGGCUAAUACCUGGGGCUGAUGACGGUACCGUAAGAAUAAGCACCGGCUAACUACGUG
rnacentral:rRNA from 1 species